UACCGGCGUUUGAUCGCGCCGCGGGUCUGAUAGCCGGCUUGUCCCCCGCCGCGUCAGGCUUGGACAAAGGCCUCAUCCCCCUCUCCGGGCCUUUGUCCCCAUUUUAAAAGCCGCCAUGGCCAUCCUCCAGGCCGUGGCGGCUUUGU
rnacentral:sRNA from 2 species